UACAGAGGGUGCGAGCGUUAAUCGGAAUUACUGGGCGUAAAGCGUGCGUAGACGGCUAUCUAAGUCGGGUGUGAAAGCCCCGGGCUCAACCUGGGAAUUGCAUUCGAGACUGAAUAGCUAGGGUGCGGUAGAGGGAAGCGGAAUUUCCGGUGUAGCGGUGAAAUGCGUAGAUAUCAGGAGGAACACCAAUUGCGAAGGCAGCUCGCUGGGACGUUACUGACGCUGAGACGCGAAAGCGUGGGGAGCAAACAGG
rnacentral:rRNA from 1 species